rnacentral:rRNA from 1 species
AUCUGCGAAGGGCUCCGUAUACCUGUCAUUACCUGCUGUGUCUCAGAAUACAAUGCGGAUAAUGUUGGAAACGCUAGCAAUAAUACUUUAGAAAUCCUGAAUUCUUGUUUAAGCUUGAAGCAACAAAAUCACACUGAUAGGGUGGAAUGUAUUAUAACCUAGGGAACAUGGGGCCCUCAAAGCUCCUCACCCUCAGGGUCAUCUUACUAUCCAUGCUUGGGUGUUUUCUUGUUCUUCAAUAAGGGGUUUGCAAGGAUUCAUAGGGCUCCUGCUUUUUUGGCACACCAAACCUGGGAACCUGAAGCACCACACCAAAAAUCAUAUCCACCGUCCCCCUCACCUCUGAGCUUUGCCCUUAAAUCUCUCUGAGAGCUUCCUCAUUCACUUGUGGAUGCCCUCUCUGAGUUUUUUGGUGUGAGGUUGAACAACAGUUCUGGGGAUAAUUAUGAGGCGUGCUUUGGGGUAUGAUGUGGCUGUCUUCUACCUGGUGUUUUUGACCAAAUCAUGAUUUGGGUGGGAGAUUUCUUUAUUACCCUGAUGAAAGCAACCUUAUGACUUUCACGUUCACAAUGGGUUUCAGUCCUAUCAACUAGACGGUUGGGCAUUGGCCAACCGUGGUUAUAACGGGUACAGAGGAUUAGGGUUUGAUCCUGGAGAGGUAGCCUGAGAAAUAGCUCCCACUUCCAUGGAAAGCAGCAGGCGCGCAACGUUCCCAAUGAGUUACGGCUCGAGGACGUUAAGGAACAUAGCAAUACUUAGCCUUAAAAGCUAAGCAAUUGAAAUGGGGGAGUUUAAAUCACCCACCGAGUAACAAUUGGAGGACA